UUGAGGAAAAGUGUACACGUUCGUAAGUACUUGCGAAACUGCAUCAUGAAUUUGGGGCUCGUUACCCCUUGUCCCUGACCGUGGAGAGCCAACAAGGCAGUGCGCCUCUGCCGUCACUUGCAGACCUCUCCUGGACGCUGUCCAAGCACCACACAUACACUUGGAGCUCCCUGAGUGCUGCACACCACACGGGCAUGGCAGCCACCAAACCACCCAUCACGGCGCUACUUGGCUGACCGAUCGCCUAUCACAGUACCAAAAUGGCAUGAUGCAGUGACCACACAUCCUAGUACCGAUAAUCAACAAGCGACAUCAGGAAGGCGGCGGCGGCGAAGCGCAUACUUGAUACAUCCAGCUGGAUGUGGUUCAGGGACGAUUAUUUCACUAGGCUACACUACUACUUUCACUAUACCCACAAACGCCGUCUUAUCUGCGACGGCACACCGAAAUUAUCUGAAUACCCACAUAGACAUCAAGAAAAUGAGGCACGUUGCCGCUAGCUUGUGCAAUACCACCAUCUAUAAUUGCAACAAGACUACCUUCAACCAACCACCAGAUAUCUAGAUAUAUUCUAAAGCUACAGUGAACAUAAUCCAUGUAUCCACACAACGUCGCGCCAGAUUUCGAAAUAUACACGGUACAGAGCCGCCUUCAACUGCAUGUGACGUAUAUGAAGCAGUAAGCACCGACGCUGGUACCACUGCCAUACUGAACCCUAACAUCCUGGUUCCUGCCUUCCACGAGGAUUACCCCCAACAUGACACACAUUGGAAGGAUUCAAUUUGCAU